GCCCAUAUAGCUCAGACGGUAGAGCAAUUCCAUGGUAAGGAAGAGGUCAUCAGUUCGAUUCUGGUUAUGGGCACCA
rnacentral:tRNA from 2 species